rnacentral:rRNA from 1 species
UGGGGAAUAUUGGGCAAUGGGCGAAAGCCUGACCCAGCGACGCCGCGUGGGCGAUGAAGGCCUUCGGGUUGUAAAGCCCUGUCAUGCGGAAAGAACGACCCUGUGACGCAUACUCACAGGGAGUGACGGUACCGCAGGAGGAAGCACCGGCUAACUCCGUGCCAGCAGCCGCGGUAAUACGGAGGGUGCAAGCGUUGUUCGGAAUUAUUGGGCGUAAAGGGCGCGUAGGCGGUAAUGUAAGUCAGAUGUGAAAGCUAUGGGCUCAACCCAUAAACUGCAUCUAAGACUGGUUCUCUUGAGUUCGGGAGAGGAGAGCGGAAUUCCAGGUGUAGCGGUGAAAUGCGUAGAUAUCUGGAAGAACACCAGUGGCGAAGGCGGCUCUCUGGCCUAGAACUGACGCUGAAGCGCGAAAGCGUGGGGAGCGAACA